rnacentral:rRNA from 1 species
GACGAACCGUGCAAACGUUGUUCGGAUUCACUGGGCUUAAAGGGCGCGUAGGCGGGUGCUCAAGUCCGUGGUGAAAUCCUCCGGCUCAACCGGAGAACUGCCUCGGAUACUGGGCGUCUCGAGUGUGGUAGUGGUAUGCGGAACUAUCGGUGGAGCGGUGAAAUGCGUUGAUAUCGAUAGGAACUCCGGUGGCGAAGGCGGCAUACUGGACCACCACUGACGCUGAUGCGCGAAAGCCAGGGGAGCAAACGGG